UACGGAGGGGACUAGCGUUGUUCGGAAUUACUGGGCGUAAAGCGCACGUAGGUGGUUUGCUAAGUCAGCUGUGAAAUCCCCGGGCUCAACCUGGGCACUGCAGUUGAAACUGGCAAGCUAGAGUAGGGUAGAGGGGUGUGGAAUUCCAGGUGUAGCGGUGAAAUGCGUAGAUAUCUGGAGGAACAUCAGUGGCGAAGGCGACACCCUGGACUCAUACUGACACUGAGGUGCGAAAGCGUGGGGAGCAAACAGG
rnacentral:rRNA from 1 species